rnacentral:rRNA from 1 species
GUGGGGAAUAUUGGACAAUGGGCGAAAGCCUGAUCCAGCAAUGCCGCGUGAGUGAUGAAGGCCUUCGGGUUGUAAAGCUCUUUAGCCGAUGAUUAUAAUGACUGUAGUCGGAAAAUAAGCCCCGGCUAACUUCGUGCCAGCAGCCGCGGUAAUACGAAGGGGGCGAGCGUUAUUCGGAAUCACUGGGCGUAAAGCGUGCGUAGGCGGCUUUGCAAGUUGGGAGUGAAAGCCCAGGGCUCAACCCUGGAAUUGCUCUCAAAACUGCAAGGCUCGAAUUCGGGAGAGGAUAGCGGAAUGGUCAGUGUAGCAGUGAAAUGCGUAGAUAUUGACAGGAACACCAGUGGCGUAAGCGGCUAUCUGGACCGAUAUUGACGCUGAGGCACGAAAGCGUGGGGAUCAAACAGGAUUAGAAACCCGGGUAGUCC